AGGUCACAAAGAGUCAGACACGACUUAGUGACUAAACAACAACACUUCAUCAGAAAUACAGUCCAUGAAUUAAAAAGAAGAUGCCACAGUUCUGACCAUGCAGAGAUGUGCCAAGGGGACCUGAAGGCAGUGCACCUGUGUGACUGUCUCCAGUGUGAUCGUUUCAGCCACCAGAGCUGAUCCCAGUGUCCACCUAAGGAUGGUUCUUCCAGCUUUCUAAUACCCUGCAGUGAAGCUCAAGAUGAUUCUCAGCUGUCUUCUGGGUUAUGGCUGCCAAGAUGCCUGAAGUGAUGAUCGCUGUGAUCAGCAGGAACAGCCAGAUGUAAUAUCUAAUUGGGAAAAGAGAUUCAAACUUCACAAAUAUAUGAGUAUUCAAAAUA